ensembl:lncRNA
AAGAUGAUGGCUGAUAUGAGUGGAGGGGCUGAACGGAGGGGGACGUUUCCGUCUAAAAUGGCGAUUCCCUUUGUUUCUCCAUCCCUCUCCUCCUCCUCCCGCGAGCGAAGGAUGAGGAGGACAAUCUGCCCUUCACAGUUCAGCUAUAUUUCCGCAUUUCAAGUGAAAGAGUAGGGGCUUUGGCCGCGAAUCCCCGUUAAUGCGGUAACAGCACAUCGCGUUGGAGCCGCUGGUACACAUUGUGGGACAAUGGAGCAUUUUGAUAGCCACUGCCUUUCGGACAAAGCGGACGGAUACAACCCCCCUCGGCUCCUCGCCGUCCGGAGCGGGACGGGACUAACGGUUUAUCAGCGAGCCGCGGUCCUGCUGAUCGGCCUUCAAUGUAUUUUGGUUUUGCACUGUUUCUGUGAUUCUUCUGUAUUUCCGAGUGUCACGUAUAAGGUAGGCGGGAGCAACCGGCAGAAGAUAAUUUGGGUUGCAUUUGGAGCCGUGUGGGAUGCUUGGGAUUACAUUUACAUAACACAAACACACACACACACGAACACACACACACACACACACACACACACACACACACACACACACACACACACACACACACACGCACACACACACACACACACACACACACACACACACACACACACACACACACAAACACUUUUAUCACGUAUAUGACGCCAUUAAGGAAGCCAAUUUUAUAAGUGGGGUUUACAUGGAGCAUUUCGAGAUGUCAAAGUAAAAAUAGCCGGUGCACGCGCAAACGCACGCGGGCCCGCGGAUGGGCCAUGGUUGGGGGUCUGUCUCUCCGUGUUCACAGCGGACCUUGAUUUAAUGUCUUACAAUUAAGGCACGCGGUGAAUGCCAAGAGAUGAUCCUCAUGUCUGCAAAUGCCUGCGCACCCUCAGUCCACAGCCCGAAAGGGUCUUAGAUGAGGCAGGGUUGGUUUGAACUGGUCGGGUUCUACUGUAAUUCAGUCGUUUUUUGUAAUGUCUCCCCCCCCCCCGCAGAAUAAAUAAAAUAAACCAAAAUAAAACCUUUCUUUUUUCAUGUGAUCCUGUCCAAUAAACGAGAAGCCUCGUUCCUCGAUCGUGUACAGCUGAUCUACCUCACGAUUAUGCUUGCCAUGUUUCUGCUGAAGCUGGGAGCUGUCCAGUCCGACCACUACACCCAGUGCUCUGAAGCGCUGUCCAUCACAGCGGUGCUGAAACCUGCCCGCGCGCUGAUUGCGCCAUUGUUUCACCUCGCAGCCGCGGCAAUGUUGGGAAGAUUAGUAGCCGAUCAUAGGAUGAUGAAACAUUUGGCGUGUAGGUGAAGUUAACGAGUAGGCUACAGUAGCAGGCGUGCAGGACAGUGCAGUACAGGGCCUAUGGGUCAGGACUCACCAUGGCUGACGAAUGGAGCAGAGAUGCAUGAGGG